GUUACAGCAAUUGAUGGAUGCCUUGGCUUCAUCAGGCGAAGAAGGACGCAGCAAGCUGCGAUAAGCUUCGGGGAGCGGCACGCACGCUUUGAUCCGAAGAUUUCCGAAUGGGGAAACCCGGCACCGGUCAUUCGGUGUCGCGACGGUCCGAAUACAUACGAUCGUCCGCGCAAUACGUGGAGAAGUGAAACAUCUCAGUAUCCACAGGAAAAGAACGAGAAUCGAUUCCGUCAGUAGUGGCGAGCGAAAGCGGAACAGCCCAAACCGGAAAAACUUGUUUUUCCGGGGUUGUGGGAGCCCGUAAAAGAAGAAAGGAUGCGAAGCCGAACAGUCUGCGAAAGGCUGGCCAUAGACCGUGACAGCCGGGUCGGCGAAGUUGAGAGUCUUCUGGGAAUUCCCGAGUAACGCGAUGCACGUGAAACUUCGCGUGAAACUGUCCAGACCACUGGAUAAGGCUAAAUACUACUUGGCAACCGAUAGUGAACUAGUACCGCGAGGGAAAGGCGAAAAGAACCCCUGCUAGGGGAGUGAAAUAGAUCCUGCAACCCUCUGCCUACAAUGUGUCGGAGCCCCGAAAGGGGUGACGGCCUGCCUUUUGCAUAAUGAGUCUGCGAGUUAUUGUCAGUGGCCAGCGUCAGACCCUCUGGGUUGGACGCGAAGCGAAAGCGAGUACGAAAUGUGCGCCUAGUCGCUGGCAAUAGACCCGAAGCGGAGGUGAUCUACUCUUGAGCAGGUUGAAACCAAGGUAACACUUGGUGAAGGACCGAACUCGUGGAUGUUGAAAAAUCCUGAGAUGACUUGAGAGUAGGAGCGAAAGACUAAUCAAACCCUGUGAUAGCUGGUUCUUUCCGAAAGA
rnacentral:rRNA from 1 species